GAGGCUAGCCAGUCAUAGCUGUUGGAGCUUGGUGAAGCGCAAACAGGAGAGGAGGCCCCUGAUAUGACCUUGGAAGCCCAGCCUCCCUCUUUGUUUCGCUGGCUGAACGGCUAUGCAGAAUUAGAAAACAGCCAUGAAGAAAUAAAGAGGACUUUUUGCGUGAGGUCAUGAUGCGCUCUGCAGCCGAAAAACAGGAAUUGAAGGAGUG